ensembl:lncRNA
CUGAACCGGGAUUGAACCUGGCCCCUGCCCUGGAAUCACAGAGUCUUAACCACUGGACCAUCAGGGAAGUCCAUACACUCCUAUUUUUAAAAAACCCUGAAGACCUGUGACUUGCAAUCCUCUGCCCUUUACUUUAGUAAAGUAAGUCAGAGAGAGAAAGACAAAUACCAUAUGAUAUCACUUAUAUGUGGAAUCUAAAAUAUGACACAGAUGAACUUAUCUAUGGAACAGAAACAGACUCACAGAUAUGGAAACAGAUUGAGAGCGAGUGCCAAGAAGUGAAACCAAGAAGUCUGGGGCCAAGAAGUCAUCCCAGAGUACCAACAGGGACUUCCCUGGUGGCCCAGUGGUUAAGAAUUCACCUUCCAAUAUAGGGGACCUGGGUUCAAUCCCUGGUCCGGGAAGAUCACACGUGCCACUAAGCCCACAUAUCACAACUACUGAGCCUGUGAGCUUCAGCUAGAGAAAGGUGCCCAUGCCACAACGAAGAGACCACAGUGAAAGAGCCUGUAUGCCACCAUGAAGAUGCCGUGUGCUGCAACGAAGAUCCAACACAGCAGGUUUUCUCUGGUAUUGACAUUAGGGUCACAGAAGAUGCACAAAAUGCAUGCAGAAUCAGUACUGCAAAACUGCAGGGGAUGGACUGAAGCCUUUCUCGUCAUCCCGCACUCCAUCACGAAGUCCCGUCAUAAGAGAUGGUUCACGUGUGCCUUUUGGCUCCUAUUCGCUGCCUCCUGGAUGUCGUUUAUGUUUAUUUCUCAGUGACUUUGUGUGUGACUUGGGC